UGGCUCAGAGGGUAGAGCGUCUGCCUGCAAUGCAGGAGACCUGGGUUCGAUCCCUG
rnacentral:tRNA from 1 species